GAUGAACGCUGGCGGCGUGCCUAAUACAUGCAAGUCGAGCGAACAGACGAGGAGCUUGCUCCUCUGACGUUAGCGGCGGACGGGUGAGUAACACGUGGAUAACCUACCUAUAAGACUGGGAUAACUUCGGGAAACCGGAGCUAAUACCGGAUAAUAUAUUGAACCGCAUGGUUCAAUAGUGAAAGACGGUUUUGCUGUCACUUAUAGAUGGAUCCGCGCCGCAUUAGCUAGUUGGUAAGGUAACGGCUUACCAAGGCGACGAUGCGUAGCCGACCUGAGAGGGUGAUCGGCCACACUGGAACUGAGACAAGGUCCAGACUCCUAAGGGAGGCAGCAGUAGGGAAUCCUCCGGAAUGGGCGAAAGCCUGACGGAGCAACGCCGGGUGAGUGAUGAAGGUUUUCCGAUCGUAAAACUCUGUUAUUAGGGAAGAACAAAUGUGUAAGUAACUAUGCACGUCUUGACGGUACCUAAUCAGAAAGCCACGGCUAACUACGUG
rnacentral:rRNA from 1 species